AUUGAACGCUGGCGGCAGGCUUAACACAUGCAAGUCGAGCGAGCGGCGGACGGGUGAGUAAUGUCUGGGAAACUGCCUGAUGGAGGGGGAUAACUACUGGAAACGGUAGCUAAUACCGCAUACCAUCAGAUGUGCCCCGAUGGGCUUAGCUAGUAGGUGGGUUAAUGGCUCACCUAGGCGACGAUCCCUCGCUGGUCUGCGAGGAUGACCAGCCACCCUGGAACUGAGCCACGGUCCAGACUCCUACGGUGGGCAGCAGUGGGGAAUAUUGCACAAGGGGCGCAAGCCUGAUGCAGCCAUGCCGGGUGUGUGAAGAAGGCCUUCGGGUUGUAAAGCACUUUCAGCGAGGAGGCGUUACGCGCAGAAGAAGCACCUGCUAACUCCGUGCCAGCAGCCGCGGUAAUAC
rnacentral:rRNA from 1 species